rnacentral:rRNA from 1 species
UACGGGGGGAGCAAGCGUUGUUCGGAUUUACUGGGCGUAAAGGGCGCGUAGGCGGCCACCGCAAGUCGGUUGUGAAAUCUCUGGGCUUAACCCAGAAAGGUCAACCGAUACUGCGGGGCUAGAGUGCAGAAGGGGCAACUGGAAUUCUCGGUGUAGCGGUGAAAUGCGUAGAUAUCUGGAGGAACACCGGUGGCGAAGGCGGCAUCCUGGACCGGCAUUGACGCUGAGGCGCGAAAGCCAGGGGAGCAAACAGG